GAGCAAAGAGCUACAAGAGUCUAGAUCCAUGAAAAAUACAAGUAAGCCCAUCCAACAUCAAGUCCAUUACUCAGACUCAAUCACUGUCAUCCAACACCACACACAAAAAUCAGAGUAACAGAAAUAAACACAGGUCACCACCGAUGUUGGGGAGAGAAGAUAGGAUCACCGGAGACAAAAGAAAAAAUGACCCAACAUACUUUGCAAGCUUCCAUAGAAGCCAACCAAAGCCCAUCAGGUAGCAAACAUAGCAGCACCAAUAACAUCUCUAGCGCUAGCAACAUGUAAAGUUUAGAUGCACAGAGGAAGAAGGAAUAAAGCCAUAGCGUUUCAGUCUUUCAUAGCCAUGAGGUGCCAGACUUCAAGCUACUUAGCUCACUGGGACCAAAGAAUAAAUCCUCAUUAAUUUGCACCCUCACUGCCACCAUGCGAAUCUGAACCUCAUCUCAGCGAAAGAAGACGGCUACUAAUACAGAUAAAGUAGUUUCUCCCAAAUCGCCAGACUCCUGCACCUCCUGGACGUAACAAACAUAGAUCUAGAACCAAACUUCAAAUAAACAUCGAUCUGUAAAAAAAGGGAGGAAAACAAACAACCCUCACUCAAAUCCAAGCUCCUCUACCAAAAGAACAAAACAGUACAACCCUAGGAUGUGGGAAGGGAUGACCACAUCCGGUUAGGGGAAACUAAGGGCGAGCUUCCCUGUCCGGAAAGGUGAGGAAAAGCCGCCCUCACGGCGGAAACUCACGGGACUCUCAAACUAGCAAAGCAAGAGAGAAACAGACUCACUUAAUUG
rnacentral:misc_RNA from 1 species